rnacentral:rRNA from 1 species
UACGUAGGGGGCAAGCGUUGUCCGGAAUUAUUGGGCGUAAAGAGCGUGUAGGCGGUCCGGUAAGUCAGCUGUGAAAGUCAAGGGCUCAACCCUUGAAUGCCGGUUGAUACUGUCGGGCUAGGGUCCGGAAGAGGCGAGUGGAAUUCCCGGUGUAGCGGUGAAAUGCGCAGAUAUCGGGAGGAACACCAAUGGCGAAGGCAGCUCGCUGGGACGGUACUGACGCUGAGACGCGAAAGCGUGGGGAGCAAACAGG